GCCUCCGGUAUAAAUACUGCUGCGUUCUUCCCCCGCCACCAUUUUGAGAUUAACAGACGACUAAAUCCGCGUAAAGACUAUUACAUCGCCGUUCAAAAAUGACCGACCAGCUUUGUAAACUUUUCGUGGGUGGACUGAACGUGGACACCGACGACGAUGGCCUGCGCAAGCAUUUCGAGCAGUACGGUACGCUCACCGACUGCGUUGUCGUCGUGAACAAGCAGCUGCAGCGGUCCCGCUGUUUCGGCUUUGUAACCUACUCCACACCGGAGGAGGCCGACGCAGCAAUGGCUGCUAGGCCGCACACCGUCGACGGCAACGCGGUCGAGGUGAAGCGGGCCGUGGCGAGAGAAGACGCCAACAAGCCAGAGGCCCUCGCAAAGGUGAAGAAAAUCUUCGUUGGCGGCCUGAAGGACGACAUUGAAGAGGAACAUCUGACCGAGUACUUCUCGCAGUACGGUCAGAUCGAGAAGGCCGAAGUCAUCUCGGAGAAGGAGACCGGAAAGAAAAGGGGGUUCGGCUUUGUGUACUUCACCGACCACGACGCAGCCGACAAGGCGGUAGUGGUGAAGUUCCACACCGUCAAUGGACACAAAGUUGAGGUUAAGAAAGCCCUGACGAAGCAGGAGAUGCAGGCAGCCAACAGAACCUCUAUGGCGCCCAGGGGCAGACCGGGUAGAGGCAUGAGGGGAAAUCAAAAUGGCUACGGCAGCAGGGACUACGGUGGAAACUACAACUACGGAAAUGGCGGAGGCUACAACUGUGGCGGCUACGGAGGGUACAGCGGACCCUAUGGGGGCGGCUAUGGAGACCAGGGAAGUGGCUAUGGUGGUGGAAACGGGUACAACGAGUUUGGCAGCGGCUAUGGCCAGCAUUCUUCUGGUUAUGGCCCCAUGAAAGGGCCCUUCGGCGCUCAGAGGAGCGCUGCUCCCUACACCAGAGGCGGCGGUGGUGGCUACCAGAGGGGGGGCUACGGCGGCGGCUACUAAAUGAGACUGUAAAACGGAAAAACAACCACCCAUCCCCUGCCACAAAUUACCUCCAGCCAGGAUUUGAACGCCAAAACUUAAAAUUCAGUUACGGGGCGUCUGCCGUGAAUCCCAACCAUGGCAGAGAUACGGACACAGAGACCCCCUCUAAUCAUAAUGAAGACCUCAAAAACCCAAACAGGUGUUCUUACUCGUAUUCCUGUAGGCUAUCCCAGCCAAAAUAGCCGUAGCAGUUUGUUUGUAGGCUACAUCAGGACCCUGUUGAUUACCUGGGGUCGAUUGUGAUAGGAGUCUGAAAUAUCUCUUUAGGAUAUCCACAUCCAGCAAACUAGGUUGCUAGGGUAACCUGGGCACGAGGACAUCACCCCGAAAAUGAUGGGGUGUGUGUCUCCACGCCGACGUGGGGGCCCGGAGAGUGGUUGUGCCUUCUCCCCCUCAGGUGAAGUCAGUUUUCACAAAGGAUUCCCCAGUUUGGUCAAAAUUUUAUUUGACUGAGUAACAGGGUUUUAAUCAAACAGGUUUUGUUGAAGAUGUGUUUGGUUUCAGGUAUGGGUGAAUUUUGAUAACACAGUGCUCCAGUGCAGUCAUAAAUGUUCUUUUCCCAAUGACCAGCGCUGAUUAUUAACAAUGGACCUGUGAAGUGAUCUAUUACACCACAACACUGAAGCCAGUGGUUUCCAACCUUUUUGGCCACUUACCCCUUAAAGCAUUUAGUGGUGAACCCUCAUCACAGGUUAGUCUUUGUGUGGACAUCAGUGUUUUCUCCUCAGGAAUUUUGAAGGGAAGCGUUUUUUAAAUUGGCCCUAAGAGGUACAAAUAUUCACUAUUAAAUGGGGGAAGAAAAAAAAAACAAUUUGAGUGGUCAGAAAUACAAUGUUUGUUCUUUCUACAAUCAUCUUGUGAAGUCUUAGAUUCAUCUUGUGUCCUACCAUAAAUUUAAGAAUGUAAAAUUUAAAUCUGGUUUCAGAAGCAUCAAAGAUGCUGAGACGUGCAGCAUUACAUUUGAAGCUAAUGACAAGAAUAAAGGUGGUGGCAUGGGUUCAGUUUGUUAUUGGUAAUCUUGUGAAGAUUACCCCCCCAAGUUGAAAACCACUGACUUCCUGGGAGAAGUUUGCAUUUGGGCACUGGGUUUCAAAAUACAAUAAACCAAUAUGAUGUCUUGUGUUUCUAUAGUCUACAGGUUUAACUCCCAUAUUGGGUUGUGUAUGUUUUUAUAUGGUUGUACAGUGUUUAUUUUCAAGUAAGGAAAAACUAAAAUAAAGUUAUACUUUGGCUGUAUUCUAAGCAUGAUACUCCUCUUGGGAGGCAUGUGUUAAUGAAAUGUGAAUUGCUUCAUUGGCACAUUCUGCAUGUGCCUGAAAAGCCAGAAACGCUCCUCCACAGCUAGAUGCACAGUGCCUGUAAAUUAACUGGAGAUGGGGUAAAGAAUACAAAUGAACUGUGACGAUCCAUCAAAUUUCCCUGAUGUGUGGAUCUGCCAUCAGAGGAUACUGUGUUUCCCUUUAUCACAUUGAACUUGAGCCUGGAAAGACAACAGGUGAAAUAUAUACAAUGCCCUUUGAGGACAACAGGAGUUGUUGCAGAAUAUCAGAUGUAAGUAAUUAGGGUAAUAAGAGGUUGAUGCCCAUUUGAGCCAAUUUGUAGUAGUAGUCCUUUUUAAUACACCCAAGAUUUGCGUUGAACAGGCUCUGGAGGUGUAAGAGAUUAUUUAAUAUAACAAUUCUGGUUUAUAUGUGAUUUUUUUUUUUUUUUUAACCACCUUUUACGCAAUUAACACGAAACAAAAUUCUACAGCUAUGGGGCUGUGUUUUUCAGCGAUUAUGGGAGAGAGUUGAAAUUUCCAAAGGUGUAAAGUUGUUACCAGUUUAAAGUUUCAGAAGCCAAUUGGAGACCAGUGAGUGGCUUCUAUGACCAAAUAUUCAAGUCUGCUGUGAGUUUUUGUCAUUGUGAAUUUUUUGGGGGGGUCUUAAAGUCUGCUGACCAAAAUCUAAAAGAAAUUUUUCAUUGUUGUUGGUCAUGGUGUUGUGUGUGUCAUUUAGUCAGUGUUGGUUUUAAUUUUAUUCUUAAAUUUUAAGGUUGCUGCUAAUUGAGCAGCUUAGAGCUAUGCUUGAAGUGCUCUCUCUCAUGCUCUCAGAUAAAGACAGACAUGCUCUUUAUCUGUUUUAAAAGGCGAGUUGAAGUAGCCAUAAGUGAGCUUAUCAAUAAACUCUUGAUGUUGAACACACCAAUGCAUCAGACAGUGUAUACUUAUUUGCAUUGUAAGGUGUACUUGCUGUAAUGGUAUGAGAGAGACGAGCACUAAAACCUCAACACAAAACAUAAACAGUAAUCCCUCAAUUCCAUAAAAUGUGAUAUUUCAGGAGAACUAGUGAGACACACAAGUUGCUGUAAUGUGCGUGGCAAAAAUACUGUGAGUGAUGAUAUGGUGAUCGGAGUGUAAAUAUUACUUUUGUUCUCUUACCUUUGUAGGAUUAAUGAUGCUUCUGAUCAUCCCGUAGGAAAAGGAAACAUCUGUUUUGUUGGCCGUGCUUUUUAUGAAUCUACAAUAAAUCUAUAUAUUUUUAUAUACCAAGAGACUUGUUAAGUUACUUUUGUGUUCUAUUUUUGAUUGGGCAUAGUUUGGUUGUAUGUGAUACUUGUCAUGAAGGGGUCAAAAUAAGGUUGGUUGUCACACUGAUUAUUUUCAUUCUGUCCAACAGAUAAGGUUUGUGAGGCCAAAGAUCCAAAGUUGGUGGAUGUAUGUGUGUUUCGUUCAACCAGGUUGGAAUUGUAAAAUCUACUGAGUACAUUUUCAGGUCUUUGGAGUUCUGUGUGUCCAAUUCAAUGCUUUAAAUUUUGGUUCUGAUAUUGACAAGAGACUUGGCUGGACUGUUGUAAUGUCAAAAACUUGAUGACCUAUUUUAACCCUUGGGUGGUUUACCUAAACAAAUACUGCAGCUUUCCUGGUGACAAGGCUGUGCCAAAAAGGAAAAAUGGGUAGUAGGAGCAAUUACAGUUCAAUACGUGGGCAUGUACCAUCAUGCUUUAAUGUGCUGUAAGCAACCUGAAUAGAUACCCUGGGUGAGAAGGGCUGAGACAAGUUUCAUUUAUUGCGAAAGGACUGAGUUCAGCCAACCCCUAAUCGCUAAGAUAUACCGUAUUCCAACUGUCAAAGCCAUCUCAGAACUAAUAUCAACAGUGUAAAUUAACUGUAGUUUAAAAAGUAUUUUAAAAACUUGUCAAGCACAGCCACAGGACGCACAUUAAACGUGGUACUAUGAAGAAUAAGUGUCGUAAAGAAAAAAACUGACCCACUUAAGUGAUUUUCCUCUUUUCAAGUGGGUCAGCAUUGGCCGUUGAAGACUGCAAAACCGUAUUAUGCGUAAUAAGAGUGUGAUGUUGCUUUGUUUUGUUUUUGCUAGGGGUU